CCGCCUCCCCAUGCAUGCUUGCCAUCCAUGGCCGAACAACAAUUUAUCUCUUGAAGAUGAUCCUUGAUUAUGCAUUUAUGCUUCAGUCAUGCGUUACUUUGGAUUUAUUAUUGUGGCCACUGGUGAGUGGUGAUUUUCUGGUUUUCAGUUCAGUAGCUAUAGCUUGGGUGGCAUUGAAUAUGUUAAACAUUCACAAUGAUAUGAUAUGACGUAGGUUGGGGACUUGACAGAUUCCAUUUUCAGACUUACGAUAACUAAUUUUUUUCUAAGAAAAAUCUGUAAAAGUGAAGCACUGGCCGACCUAAACUACUAAAAUUAAUGAAAUACAUGCUUCAUUAUUUACACUAUAAAUAUAUUAACUAUUGCAUAUUUUAAUUUAUUAUAUGUUAAGUAAGAUAUAAAAAUAAAAUUUCAUUAAAUAUGUGUAUAGAGGUAUAGGCUAUAGGCAUUUCUUAGCAAUUUAUGUCAAUCUGUGCCUGACGGAUUCUUCUCGGACAAUAAUUAUAUCCUAUAUAUGUUUGCAUCUAGACCUGAUCAUUCAUGACAUCUAGAUUUCAUGCUAUUUUCUGAUCUAUGAACAACAAUCCAUGAAAUACGAUGUUUGACCAUUAGUCUUGUACUUUAUAUACCUAAAUACUUUUGUCAAUAAAAUUAUGUUUGACACUUUCAAUCUGAUGGAUACAGACCAAAUCACAAUGAUAUAGAGGUGGAGGAAGGAAAUGUCUAUGUUGGUAAUACUGCUGAACCAUCGUAUGAGGUUGUGGCUAGCAGUGAUUAUUCAGCACAAGUGCAUACUAAUGACACUGACGAACAUGAACUGAAUAUAGAGAGCGAGGAUAGUAAGGUCAGUGUUGGUAAUGUUGCAAAACAAUCACACGAUGUUGUGGGAGUAGGUAUUGACUGUAUUUUCAUUCCUGUUAAAGUGUCAACUGAAGCCGGUCUUGGACCACAACCAGAUGUGAUACUCCUGACAUCUUUGGAUGUUCCAAAUGAAUCAAGUCAAAUAAGUUCUGAUGCGAUUAUGCUAGAGCAGAACAAACAAGAUGCUUUGGACACACUUAUUAGAAUAUCACAACAUAAAAAACCAAAGAAAUUGAAUGUAGCUCGAGUUGUCUCUGAAGAUUAUAAGUGCACCCCAGAAGAUGUUCAGCUUAUUGAAUACAUUAAAACAUUACCGGGGAAACAAGUUGUGGUGAACAUCGACAACGCAUGGUUAAAUAGAAAUGAUAUGGAAUGUCUUUUUCAUGGUGACAUCCAAUUGUCUGGCGAAGCCCUCAGUGCAUAUAUCCACUGUAUUAGGGAUGAAGAGCAUUUACUUCAUAGAGAAGGUGGAAAGGUCUUCUUGGAGAACACAUUUAUUUCCAGUCUGCUUAAGCGUGAUGGCGACCCUAAGGUGCUCUUAAAUUGUAAGGAAGACACAAUUGAAAAAAGAAUGGACAACUAUUUACAGUCUGACAUGGUGUUUAUUCCAAUGAAUAUAGAAAAUUUUCACUGGUACCUGACAGUUCUGAAUGCAAAAAAAGUGAGGUACAUGUACUCGAUUCUAUGGGACAACAAAUAACGGAUCGCCGAGAUCUUUAUACUACAUUAAAAGGUCUAGAAAGACAGAUUAAACUUGCAGCAGAACAUAAAGAGCUUUACCAAGGCAAGUAGUCGAACCUUGAUGUUGCAUCAUGACCAGUUAUAGAGAAGAUCACAACGCAAAUGCAAACCGAUGGGGUAUCUUGCGGGCUAUGGAUGAUAAACUAUAUGGAAUACUGGACAGGAUCCUCCCUAUCUGAUAACGUAACUCAGGUUUAAGCUACCUGCAAUAUUAUGGGACUCGAGAUUAAACACAAAGAAAAGGCAUCAAAAUCUUGACCACAAUGUGGAUGAAGAUGGAGAGAGUUCAAGUGAUGUUCAAAUAAUCGAUACUCCAUGUGAGUUAUCUAAAUCGUCAAAUACAUCACAUCAGAUUGAACCAUAUGUUCUGCCUGCUAAAGUAACAUCAACAAACACACAAGAACUGAUGUUUGUAUUAUGCACAUAUAUCAUGGGGAUAGACAACGCCAAAUAUUUAAAGUAAGUUAAUUCUCAUUUAAUGUAGUAUAUGCAUGGUAAAUAUUCAACACAUAUGUUCUUGCUUUAACUAUAAAAACAAAUGUUCAUUUAAUAGGAAACAUUAGAUUCAGAGCACUAAACCUUAUCCAAUUUCUUUAAAUCUUCAAAAACUUAAAGAUAUAUUGGAUGUAAAUAAGCUGAUGGAUACAGAUUGUUUUAACAUGGCUGUUCGGAUGAUCGCAUGCAAUGAUGCCUUGUUCUUGUUGGAAGACAAAUACCACUACAUGGAUCUACAAUUCUGUGUAAGUUGAAGUAAUUAGUCUUUAUUCAUAUAAGUGUGUUCAUUAUAUAAUUAUUUUACUAACAAAAAGUAGUCCAUAACUAAAUUUGGUCGAGACCCUCGCCUUCGUGCAAAGUCAGAUAUCAACAUGUUGGCAAAAUUAUUAGAAUGUUAGCCUGACAUGGAGUACGAUGUUUCAGAUUGCAAACAAAUUCUAUUGCCCUAUUCUUUCUUGGGUCACUUCACCUUAUAUGUACUUAAUAUGGACACUAGAAGCAUCUAUAUAAUGGACUCCAUGCCUAUACCAUCAUGGUUUAAGGGUGAUCAUCCUAGCAUGCAUUAUAUCCAUAAUAUACAUUAUAUUGCCAAUAAUAUGAAUGCUGCUAUGGAAUUGGCCAAUCCUACAUGGAAAGACGAUAUUUAUAUGUGGCAUCGUAUAGUACCAACAUGGGUUGCAAGAACAUUAAACUGGGAUUUAUCUGGCUUUCUUGUUAUCAACUUUAUGCACGAUUGGAAUGGUAUAAGGUUAUCCUGCAUUUGCACUAAUGGGAAUGUCCUGAGGACCAAAUUCUUAGUAGAAUUAUUGAAGUACAAGGACAAUGAAUCCAAAGACAACAUUCCAGAAGAAAUACAAGAAAUUAUUAGGCACAUCAGACAGAUAUGAUUUUAUUUGUAAUGAUACUCAACUUUUACAGAAAACUAUUAUCCUUAAUGUAUAUUCACUUCAUUUUAA